rnacentral:rRNA from 1 species
GACGAACGCUGGCGGCGUGCUUAACACAUGCAAGUCGAACGAUGAAGCUAGAGCUUGCUCUGGUGAAUUAGUGGCGAACGGGUGAGUAACACGUGAGUAACCUGCCCCGAACUCUGGAAUAAGUGCUGGAUACGGUAGCUAAUACUGGAUACGACCUACGAAGGCAACUUCCGUAGGUGGAAAGAUAUUCGGUUCGAGAUGGACUACCGGCCUAUCAGCUUGUUGGGGAGGGAAUGUCUCACCAAGGCGACGUCGGGUAGCCGGCCUGAGAGGGGGACCGGCCACACUGGGACUGAGACACGGCCCAGACUCCUACGGGAGGCAGCAGUGGGGAAUAUUGCACAAUGGGCGCAAGCCUGAUGCAGCAACGCCGCGUGAGGGAUGACGGCCUUCGGGUUGUAAACCUCUUUUAGUAGGGAAGAAGCGAAAGUGACGGUACCUGCAGAAAAAGCACCGGCUAACUACGUGCCAGCCGCCGCGGUAA